CGCCGCCGGCGCUGCCUGCCCGCCCGCCGGGUGGGGAGAGGGGUGCGGGGCCGAGACGGAGGCGCUGGAUGCAGCUCAGUACACUUCCAGAAGCGCUUCUGGCGAAGAGGAUCCCGCAGACCUUGCUGGUCUCUACACUUGGGAUUCCCCAAUGAAGGUCCCAGUGUGCCCUCCCCGGCUGGGAGACAGCCUGGGACAGGGCUCCUAUGGCCGAAGCAGGCAUCCCCACACAGGAGAUGAUGCUAACAACUUGGUUUCCCAGGUCCCAGCUCUGCCAAGCACUACAAAUCCAGGGGAGCUGAAUUUGCUCUCCUCCAAUCCAGCGUCAUACCCUCCUGGCCUUCUUGGACAGUUUCUCAGAGCCUCCCUCACGUACAUGAUCACAAAUGAGAGCAAGGGAGCACCUGCAAGCAGUAUCUACUUUUCACACAAACUUCCCCAGAGGCUGGGUCAAGAGAUGGCUGGGCUGUCUUGUUUGGAACUGGGGAAGAGGAGACUACAGGGAGAAAAGAAUAUCUCAAUAAAUCACCUUGGCUCCUGAUUCAAUGCUGGUUCCCCCUCUCCCUUUUUUCCUCCCUCCCUCCCUCUCACCCACCUCCUUAGUGUCCCUUGUCAGACAUGUCCUUGUGCACACAUGCAGGUGCACUUGGUGAACAUUGUCCCUCUUCCCACAUACAUUGCUAAAUCCAAUUCUCAGAUAGGGCUCUUAACCCCAAUGACUUGCCAUGCCACUGUCUAUCCAGUCUUGCUCUCAUCUAGCAUGGCUAUCAAUCCCUGUGAUCCUUAGCUGAGCACUGGGCUGGGGGUGGGUGGAGACAGAGGUCUAUAGGAACUGGAAGCCUUGGGGGCCCUGUCUCAGCUCAAAGAGGCCACAGGCAAGUUAUUUCCUCUCUC